CCCUAGAGGCACUAACCAAGUCCUGUGGCCAGCAAGAAGUUCUCCCAGUCCCUGUGUGUGGCUGGUUUCUGAGACCCAGUGGUCCUGAGGGGGCUGUUGGGUGAGGAGUUCCACAGCCUCUUUCUCAAAGGGAAAGGAGGGAUGAAGAGGAAAACUGACCUCAACUCAGUCCUGAGGGAACCCCAUCUGUGUUCCCAGGGAGAAGAGACUGCAAAAAUGCAAGGAAAAAAAAAACACCUUAAAAAGCAAAGAAAAGAGGGCCCAGGCGUGGUGGCUCGUACCUGUAAUCCCAGCACUCUGGGAGGCCAAGGAAGGCACCUAAGGUUUAUUCCAGGGAGCUAAAAAGGUUGGACCACUUGGUGGGGAUAUUUUGGAGGAGAAAAAGGAUUUGACAUUGGAAGGUCAGAGUGGAUAGCUUUCACAUCCUUCCAACCUUGAAUUUAUUAAGGAAAAUAAACAAACCAAAGAGGAAAGUGAGUCCCUGCGUGACAGCCCUGGUGUGACUGUCCAUACGGCCCCUCCUUUGUAGUUCCAGAAGGUCAGGUGCUCCCCGGGACACAGCUUUCCUUUCUGUGUUGAAAGAACCAUAUUUCACAUGACAGACUCUCGCCAGGAUACUCUUCCAGAAGUUUCCUCCCAUUUCUGGAGAGGCAGUCAGGUCCACGUGGAAAUACUAGAAAUGUCAAGAAUGCAGCAACAAAGAGAUUCUCUUCCCCGGAGACUUUUCUCCCCUCAGGUUAACCCCACACGGAGGUAACAGCGUGCACAGCUGCAGACCUGUGGCUCCUGCCCUUUGCUCUCGCAAGUGUGGGAAUGUGCUUCGCUAUUUUGCUGAAUUCCCCAAAUCCUUUCAACCAGAGGCAACAGUCGGAGCGGAGGAGUAAACGGUAUCCUACUGCGGUGUCCUCCAGACGUGCUUCUUCUCAGCAAAAGCUGCGGGGAGAAAACAUGUCUCUUCUUUCCCCUGCCCAUGACUCCUUCCUCCAAUUGACACCAAAUGGACACUGCACAUGUGCCCACAAGUGUGCAACACUUUGGACGAACAGGCUCACGGAGGCCAUAGUUCCCAAGUGCUGCCUGACACAGUAGUGUCCAACUGUCAGCUGGGCGCGGGCCCAUAAACCCAGCCUUCUGGGAGGCUCAGGCGAGAGGAUGCUUGAGGUCAGAAGUUUGAGACCAGCCUGAGCAACAUAGUGAGACCUCAUCUCUACAAAACUUCAAAAAAAUGAGCUAGGUGGGGUGGUGCACAACUAUAGUCUCAGCUAUUAGGGUGGCAGAGGUGGGAGUGUCGCUUGAGUCUAAGAAUUCAAGGUUACAGUGAGCUAUGGUCCUGACACUGCACUCUAGCCUGGGCAACAGAGACCCUGCCUCAAUCAAUCAAUCAAUGAAGCUAACUGACCUCAGGUCAAUCACUCAAUCCUACCGAGCCUCAGUUUUCUCAUUUAUGAAACGGGUCUGUGAAUACCACCUAGCCCACAGAGUACAUGAGACAUCAGUGUAAAGCAUCUGGGGACAUCACAAAUACUAAGUAAAUAAUAUUAUUUUUCAUAUUAAAAAAUAAAUUUUAGAAUUUGCAAAUGUGCCAUAAAAAUUUACUUCUUAACAACUUUGUUCCUUUAAAGUGACAAGGAUUUUGAACAUGAUUUAACGGUAACUAACACAAGGCUUAAUAAAAGUCAAUACUCAUAAGCGGUUUCAAAAUGAUACAGAACUUUAUAUUCCUAUUCUGAAAGUGCACCAAGCAGUGGGCUUCCCGGCACUUACCAGGCAGAGUAUGAGAACUGCAGAGGUUUGCUGUCACCAUGGGACAGGUGUGAGGAGAGGACACAGACUGGGAACACUGGGGUUAGUAGUUCCACUAAGGGGCCAGCUGCGGGCAAGACAGCAGUUGUCCCCACGCCCAGGUGGAGUGCAAGCUGCUGUCAGCACACAGGCCUGGCCGGUGGAGAGAGGCACAUCCAGACCAUUCGCACUGGUCUUCAGGCCGACUGCAAUUCUAGCCCGGGGGCGUCAGGACUUUUCUGCCUGUCUCCAGGGCAGUGCUGCCUUGGACUGCCAUCAGCUCAACCUGAAUGUACCACAGGCCGCCUGGAAAAUGCCUCUCCAUCCUGUGGGAUUGUCACCCAGCCCGUCAUCAAGAAGGGGUUGGAAGUGUUUUUACCAGCAAUUCUUGUUUCAGCUUUUCUGCAAAUCUCCCUCUCUUCCAGAGAGAAGAAGCUGAGUUAAGACAGAAAUCAGAAUGUGGUUUCUGCUCACACGAAGAAUAAUGCAUCUAUUCUGCUCAAAAAAUGCCUUGAUUGUUGAUUUGUUUACUUCAACUCCUUCUCUGAAGGAGAGUAUCAG